rnacentral:rRNA from 1 species
UACGUAGGGUGCAAGCGUUAAUCGGAAUUACUGGGCGUAAAGCGUGCGCAGGCGGUUUUGUAAGUCUGUCGUGAAAUCCCCGGGCUCAACCUGGGAAUUGCGAUGGAGACUGCAAGGCUAGAAUCUGGCAGAGGGGGGUAGAAUUCCACGUGCAGCAGUGAAAUGCGUAGAUAUGCGGAGGAACACCGAUGGCGAAGGCAAUCCCCUGGGCCUGCACUGACGCUCAUGCACGAAAGCGUGGGGAGCAAACAGG